AACGAACGCUGGCGGCGUGCCUAACACAUGCAAGUCGGACGAGAAAGUUCCUUUCGGGGAACGAGUACAGUGGCGCACGGGUGAGUAACACGUUGACAACCUGCCUUCCAGUCCGGGGACAACCCCGCGAAAGCGAGGCUAAUACCGGAUAAUAAGCCGGGCCGCAUGGCUUGGUUUUGAAAGACUUGUCGCUGGAAGAGGGGUCUGCGGGACAUUAGCUAGUUGGCGGGGUAACGGCCCACCAAGGCUAUGAUGUCUAGCGGGUCUGAGAGGAUGAUCCGCCACACUGGAACUGAGACACGGUCCAGACUCCUACGGGAGGCAGCAGUGGGGAAUUUUGCGCAAUGGGCGAAAGCCUGACGCAGCGACGCCGCGUGAGGAUGAC
rnacentral:rRNA from 1 species